CUCUGUCAUUCUCUCUGUCUCAGUGUGAGUACGUAUAAAAGCGUCUCAGUGCUUUCGCUCCAAUCUGAGCUCUCUGUAGCUUUGCAGGACAGAACGGCGCAGGACUCAAGCACACGACCAAAGGGGAUCCCUCUGAGCCAUUUCUUUAACCUUCCCACUUUUUGUCAGUCCCCCCCCCUCUCUCUCCUUUCUUCAAUGUGUCGCGGGUUUCCCUCCUCUCCUCUUCAACCUUCCUCUCACUGAACGUCUCCGCUCUGCCUAGACGGUGGCUGCGUCGAUGCAAAAUGGGUUGUGGCAAUUCCUCAGCCACCAGCACCUCAGGAGAGGGGCCAGCAGAAGCCUCCAAAGAUGUGACAGAAGAUCCCUUGGCAGAAGAUGAGAAAAGAAGGAAUUAUGGGGGAGUAUAUGUGGGUCUGCCUGCAGACCUGACCACAGUGGCUGCUAGUCAGUCCAAGUCCACACGAAAAGACUAGCAGCUGCUGAAGGAGAUUCAACACAGGACCCUGCAUUUUGAGUCACCCAGAGACAGACACAUUCUAUGCAGAGAGCAUCUUGGUGCUCUGAUUCUGGUAGGAAAUGAACUAAAUGAAGACUUUGAUUAAGACUCACACUGAGCAAAGAAAGGGGCAGUUUGGAAGGACUCAGAGGACACUGCCUAAUGGAGCACAGGAAAGUGGAGCAAUGUUUGGAUGCAUAUGGCAUCAAUCAUCGGCCUUUGUCCUCAAGAACAAAAGACGAAGAAAGAGGAAUCCCACACAGACUCCCAACCUGGGAAUUGCAGCUGUGGACAGCAGCAGCGGGUAUUUUGACAGUCACAUAAGUGGACCCCUUUCUUUCUCAGGAAAUGAUGGAGGUUACAGCCAACUUCACAACAGGCUGUGUGGGAAUCACACGACCUCCCCAAACCCAUUGGCAAUAAGACUUUCUGCUAAUUAUAUCACUACAGUGCACACAUGCUUGAUU